CAACUGUGCAUGCACUUUUCUAUUUGGUGCUUGUAGACGUUAUGGGAAAGUUGUCUCUCUCCCUGCAUCUCUCUCCCUCUCCCCAUCCCUCCCUCCUGCUUAUUCUCCUCGUCUAUCAUGUGCUCGGGAUAUGCUUAUGCUUUGCACAGAGCAGCUGAAGCACGCCUAAUGCGGGCUACUGAGUGUUAGCGGCAAUUUUAAAGUGAUGCCCCCCAAAAUACGGCUGGGAUAUUUUAGGGGAACCUAUAGCCUACAUGACGGACCCCACUGAACACCGCUCUUCUUCUCCUGCUUGGGACGAUUUCUGAUCUCUUGCCGUGAUUUGUCUCACCUUUAGGAAUGUUGGAGAGAUGUAGCUGUGGAAAGCUUCAGCCUGCAGGAAGUGGAGGUCAGUUAGAGAUCUCUGGGAUUUUGCUGUCCACUGGACCUGCUUAAGGUGCAAGGGCUGCCACAGAGAUCAUGACCCAGAAACAGAUGGCAUAAUGACCGGAGUCUCCAGGCUAACGACACCAAGGAUAUUCAGCUGAUCUCAGAGGUGCACGACUCAUCCUGAUCAACUACAGAGAAGUGUGGAUCUCAUCAAGGCAGGCACCUGAAGAUAUCUAUUCAUAAAAUGCACAUGCAUGAGUGUUGCAUACCAUCCUCUGCAGCAAACUCAUGCAAAGUAGGUUAUCAUUGUGUAUUGUGUAGACUCAGGUUGACCAAUGAUAAGGCUUCAUUUGUUAAAAUAUUUUAUAUUUCUAAUUGAAGGAAACACUGCUUAAAAGGAGAUUAUGAUAUUUCAUAUGUUGAAACUCUGUAUUUAUUUUAUAUAUACAAUUGAGUCUGAGUAUAUUAUU